UUCGCAGGAGAGAUGGCAC
rnacentral:miRNA from 1 species